UGGGGAAUAUUGCACAAUGGGCGGAAGCCUGAUGCAGCGACGCCGCGGGGGGGAUGAAGGCCUUCGGGUUGUAAACUCCUUUCGACAGGGACGAAGCGUAAGUGACGGUACCUGUAUAAGAAGCACCGGCUAACUACGUGCCAGCAGCCGCGAUAAUACGUAGGGUGCGAGCGUUGUCCGGAAUUACUGGCCGUAAAGAGCUANUAGGUGGUUUGUCGCGUCGUCUGUGAAAUUCCGGGGCUUAACUCCGGGCGUGCAGGCGAUACGGGCUGACUUGAGUGCUGUAGGGGAGACUGGAAUUCCUGGUGUAGCGGUGAAAUGCGCAGAUAUCAGGAGGAACACCGAUGGCGAAGGCAGGUCUCUGGGCAGUAACUGACGCUGAGGAGCGAAAGCNUGGGUAGCGAACAGGAUUAGAUACCCUGGUAGUCCAUGCCGUAAACGGUGGGCGCUAGGUGUAGGGGGCUUCCACGUCUUCUGUGCCGUAGCUAACGCAUUAAGCGCCCCGCCUGGGGAGUACGGCCGCAAGNCU
rnacentral:rRNA from 1 species